UCAAUCAAUCACCUAUACAAGAACUGUGUCUCUAUAUGUCAUAGAAUGCAUGAAUCAGAGUCUGAUGUUACUGCCCUAUUAUAGUUUCAUAAGUAUGCUACUGCUGGAGGUUUUGGUACGUAAUGAGUUCCAGUAUACUACUCACCCAUAAUGCAAGGAGCUCUAUUUCGAUAUGUCCAACUUAUUAUUUUGAGACUCACUAUCCUUUAUUGAUUAUGCGUGUAUUGGGUCUGUGGGAUUGUGGCACCUUUUAGCAGGAGUUUCCAUGGGUUUAACUUUUGGACAUAAAAAACAAAAGAUAAUCUUUAGCUUUGAAAUUUGUCUGUAUCUGCAUGAGAUUUUGGUGGAAUACAAUUCUUUUAACCGUGGGGCUGGGUAAAUGAACAGCUAGUGAACUGGCUGCUGCACAGGUAAGAAAGUGGGAGUGGUACCUGUUAAAUAUUCCAGAAUGACUGAGCUGGCUGUGACUUUGGAGAGAAGCAAGAAGGGACUAGAGGUAAUCUAAAAACAUGGAUUCAUGUUCAUGUUAAAUGCAAGAGAGAGAUUCAUCAAGCUCUGGCAUAUCUUAACAUCUACUAGAUUUAAUGCAAUGUGCGCCGGUGAAGCUUGGUCCACAGUCUCAUGACUUGUCACUAUUCAGCUCAGACCAUCAUUUUGUUUUAUAAAAGCAUUCAUGCUGACAUAUACACAGGAAGAGAGCCCUAGAGUUUAGACUGUUUGCUCCUAAUACCUGAAUCUUUUCCAUUGAUGUCACCUCACGAGUCAAAAAAUCUGAGUGCAUGUUUACGGUGUUUUGAACUUGUGGCCAGACCAUGUUUUGUUACGGAUCUGUUAAUUGGUUGAAUAUGUACUAGAGUUAGUGGUUGCUGACAAUUGUCUCCCAUUUCAUUGUAUGCGGUGCACAGGAGAAAACAACUCUAAAACAGGAAUUUUGCCAUAUUGAUAAAAUCAGCUUUGUAUAGAGAUGGUUUGGCUGAACUAACAAAUUGAUUCACUAGGGAAGAUAUGGAUUGAGAUGAGGAAUGGAUGAUGUUCAGAGGACAGUGUUUUAAAUGUUGGAUUUAUUGUGGAUUUCUUAGGUAGAGGAUGCUAUUGAAAGGAUAAUGUUAAUCAGAGAUCUAUUAGUGUCUUAGAUAGUUGAGAUGUUCACCAUGGUCAGUUUUUUAUGGAGGAUCAACUGGCAAGGAUUAGUAGGUGAAUGAGAGAACAGAAAAUGGAAAGGCUGGAAAAGAAGAUAAAUAAGGUAACUGAUAAACAUACGUGUUCUUCUAUUUAAUCAUGCAUUAGUGUCGGAAAAGUAUGUGCUUAUCAUAUGGACAAGGCAUGUUUUACAUACGGUCAUUUUUUGUUGUAGUACAUUUGGAUCAAGUCCUGAUGCUAGAAAAAUUGGUUUUGGAGUCCAUGCCCUUUCUUAACGUUUUCUAUGAACUGAAUCUGAUUAUAGUUCUCACGUUGAUGAUUGCCAAGUAUAUGAACAAUAUGGCAGGUAUUAAGUUGGAGCAUGAGGACAAAUAGAAAAAAGUCUCCUGAUUCAUAUCUAAGCUUUAGUUGGGAUGUUUAAUAUAGCAUCAUAUUGGUCUUGUGCUAGAUUUUCAGAUCAGCUUUCAUAAUUAUGCAAGUUGUUACUAAAUUUUUAACUAUAUUAGGAUGAGGAUUUUCUACUAAAUGAGCAAGUUAACAUAUUAUAAACUAUAUCUAUGCCACCACAUUCUAAUCACAUUAUUUCUCUCUCUACUCCAGCUUGUAUCGUCUGAAUCAUUUCUCUGAAAUAACUGUGUAGUAUGCCAGUAACUUUUAAGAAGUAAGAUUUCUGUUAUUUCCACAUUUGAGGUUGUUUAUUUGUUUCAGCAAGUAUUGUUGACUUUCUUUGUUGAUCAAUUACUUGCAGUUCACGUCUUUGUUGACCUCUCCAAUAGCCAGGUUUUCAGGACUCUGGUGUUCCAUUUGUAAUGGCUCCCAACAUUAUCUACACAGAUUGUGUGUGGUAAUGGUGAAUAAGAACCGAGCUUUUGCUUGAGACUUUGUUCCUGAGUUUGCAGACAACUUUAGAAACCUGUGAGAAUAAGAAACUAUCUUGCACAAAGAUUACUAAGGUGCCUUCUCAAACCACUUUUUCUCUUGGUGAGUCUUGGUUUAGAUUGCUGAUUUUUGUCACACCAUGGCAUCCUCUUGUUAAUGCAUUUCCACUUUAUUAUACCAUAGAUUGAUGCUGUUUUCCAAUAUGCCUGCUGUCUACGGACUUGUCAGCUAAUUCAACAUGCUAAAGUUCAUUAAACUGCUUCAUACUACCCCUACUUAGCACAGCAUCGUCUCUUUUCAGCUUGUUGCCUGAAUUUCAUGUUUCACAUCUCGGUACCAUGCUACUGAAGGAAUUUUUUUUUUUUUUUUUGUAAAGCCAUCUUGUUGUUAUCCUGUGGGGGUCAUAUGAGUCAUUUGGGAGCUUCCUAAGUGCUCAGGAAGUUAUUGUAGUUUCAUCUAGAAGCAAAAUUUAUACUACUUUGUAUUUGUUCUGUUCUCUCUUUCAUUUUUCUUCCUUUUGGGACAUGUGGAAGGAACUUGUAUGAGCAUUCACUUUUGUUAAUAUUGAUCAUUAGUCAGGUUUGAAGGUUCACAGAGAAUGUGUAAAUUUGGUUUUUCCCCGUUACUGAAAUUCUCACAAGUGCAUUUUUGGGGAGAAGUGGGGUGGCAAAAAGGCUAACAAUUUCAAUGUACUAGAUUCUUUUAGGUCUAUUAUAAGUAUUAACAUCUUGGUUUUCGUUUGCUGGAUUUCCCUCUCAGCCUAGGGAUACUGUUUUGAAUUGUAAGCCUUUCUUUUGCCCCCAACCUUAUCUUCCUCCUCUUCUUUUUUAUUUUUAUUUUUUUUUUGUUCUUUAAAAUUUUAUCGACUGUUUUGUUUGUUCAAGUCAUACAUAUCCAGUUUAUUUGGGCAGUUGCUUGACUGUUUGUUUUAGUCAUCUUUCGCAAUAAACUUCUGAUGUAAAACAUAACCUGUUACAACGGUGCUUUUAAAGUAAAAUUUUGCUAAAAUAAAUGAAAGUUGGAGAAGUAGGAAGGCUCAGGCUUUUUGAGCCAGUACUGAUGAUUGUAUAACUGUAAAUCCUUUUUUUUUUUUGCCCCGGGAGGCCAGGGGAGGGGGGGGGGGUUAAGAUUAAUUAUGUGUUAGCCAUCGAAUGCUGAAUAGCUCUCAACUUACGUUUUCCAAUUACCUUUUUAUUUCGCAUGAUAUUUACCAAUACCGAAUAGUUUAUAUUACCCCUCAGGCCCUCACCAACCAAAGCUUUACGAGUUAGUUAUGUGGAACUUGUUUAGUGCAAUUUCUAGUAGAAGCACUGAGACAUUUCUUUUUGUUUUGUUUCGUAAAACAUAAGCAUCUUUGAUUCUCAUUACUUGCCUGUUUCAUCAGAGGAAGAUGUAGGAAAUAGUGAUUGUAUAGUCCAUCCGAAUAAUUAAUGGAAGCUGUUAUGAUGCUAAACUUGCAAAUGUCUGUUUCAUAAUCAAUGGAUUCUUGGUAGGUUCCAACUUGCAAUUGGCACAUUGAAUCAUUAUACCACAAGGUUGAUGGUCAGUUUCUGUCAAUUUAGUUAGUAGAACAGUGAUCAUAUUACAUCUAGUGAAUCAGAAACUGCUAAUUUUCCAACCCCUAAAAGAGAACAAAAUUUAAGAAGGAACUGAGAAAAAUAAUAUGUUGGUGGACAGUGGGUCCAAGAUAAUUAUUUUGUUUGCUAAUAUAUCUUAGUCCUGCCUUGUUUGUUUGUCUUGAUGGUUAAUUGCUUUUCUUCUUCUGUUAGAAACACAAGUAGUUUCUUGCACUUCUUUAUUGCCUUACCAACUUAGCAUGAGGGUUAGGAUGUGAAAACAAGAAGUCUAAAACAUACUCAUUGCAAUGUCCUGCUUAAAUUGACUCAUAUUUAUUGCUUUGAGUUGCAUAGGGAUAUAACCUUUUUGCUUAAAGAGAAAAAUCAAAGACACAUUCAUAGCAAAUCUAGUGUGACAAACAACCUCACAUAGUACUUAAAUAUGUUCUUCAAUUUUUUUUUUCUUGUUUAGAAUUUUUUCGUAGUAGGAGAGAGAUGGGAUUUAAGAAACGAGGAGAAACAGGCGGAUUAGAAUACAGUUCUCUUAUUUAUUUAUUCAUGUUUCUCUUAUUUAGUUGUUGAACUCGAAAGAAAUUACAUUUGUCUUUCAAUUUUUUCUUCUAUCGAAUUUGUAAUAAAAAGCAAACAAUAUUGGCUAAAAUUAGAUACAAUUUGCGUUGCAGGAUCUAAUUAAACUUGAGGGAACAGCACCUGUGAUUCAUUUUCUAAACCAAGGAUUGAAACUCUUAAAAACUUUUGCCAGAUUCUGCAUGUCAUUUCACUGUACAUGUAAUGUUUACCAUUUAUCUCACUAUUCCUUCAAGAUAUCCAUCUGAAUCUGAAAACACUAUGAUAAUAAUCUUAUCUAGCAAAAGGCCCCCAAUGUAACUAUGAUAUAUUUAUCAAAUUACAUAGGUUCCCAAAGAACCUCUACAUGUUUGUCUAACUGGAGUCUACUGAUCUUCACUAGUACGUCAUAACCUACACCUUACAUUGAACAAAAUGAUUUAAGAUGAUUUCCAAAUUAAAGUUCAUGUUCACAAGUCAUAAACAAAAUUUACAAAAAAAAAAAAAAAAAAA
rnacentral:lncRNA from 1 species